rnacentral:rRNA from 1 species
GACGAACGCUGGCGGCGUGCUUAACACAUGCAAGUCGAACGGAAAGGCCCUGCUUUUGUGGGGUGCUCGAGUGGCGAACGGGUGAGUAACACGUGAGUAACCUGCCCUUGACUUUGGGAUAACUUCAGGAAACUGGGGCUAAUACCGGAUAGGAGCUCCUGCUGCAUGGUGGGGGUUGGAAAGUUUCGGCGGUUGGGGAUGGACUCGCGGCUUAUCAGCUUGUUGGUGGGGUAGUGGCUUACCAAGGCUUUGACGGGUAGCCGGCCUGAGAGGGUGACCGGCGAGGGUGGGACGGAGGUCAGGGCGGGAGGCCGACGGGAGGGAGCAGGGGGGGAGAGGGGAGAAGGGGCGGAAGCAGGAUGCAGCAACGCCGCGUGGGGGAGGACGUGGGUCGGGUUGGAGAACGCGUGCGCCGGGGACGGAGCGGGAGGGACGGGAAUGGGGAAAGAAGCACCGGAGAACUACGUG